rnacentral:rRNA from 1 species
UACGAAGGGUGCAAGCGUUACUCGGAAUUACUGGGCGUAAAGGGCGCGUAGGCGGACAGUUUAGUCAGAGGUGAAAGCCCAGGGCUCAACCUUGGAAUUGCCUUUGAUACUGGCUGUCUUGAGUUCGGGAGAGGUGAGUGGAAUGCCGAGUGUAGAGGUGAAAUUCGUAGAUAUUCGGCGGAACACCAGUGGCGAAGGCGACUCACUGGCCCGAUACUGACGCUGAGGCGCGAAAGCGUGGGGAG